CAAGCCUGCCUGUCUUCACCUUGAGCUGUGCUGCUGUGUGGACUGUCUGAGCCACCAAACUUGAUCUUGUUUCAGAGCAGGAAUGGCUGGCUUGUCGAGUCUCUCUUUUCUUUCUCCAGCAGCUGCCUAACAGUGCAGUCCUUCCUCGUUUCAAAGUUGUCGGGAGUUUUUCUAAUGAACCGCCUCUGGAUUCUGAACAGGGAGGAGCGCAUAACCCCAUCUACACUGCAACUUGAACUUGAGUGCUUGUCCUAAGCAGUGACAGCAGCAUGGAGGCAGAAUAGCUUCCAAAAGGGAAUGAAUGUUUGACAGUCAGAUGUGAUGUUCUCAUGAUGCUGGAGUGUUGGAGGCUGCCAUUACAAUUCAGGCUGCGGGCUGUAUUUUACUUGUCAACAUUUCCAAGAUAGUUAAACAUAAAUUGUGAAACUUUUUCCAUCCCAA